rnacentral:rRNA from 1 species
AUUGAACUCUGGCGGCAGGCCUAACACAUGCAAGUCGAACGAGUGGCGGACGGGUGAGUAAUGUCUGGGAAACUGCCUGAUGGAGGGGGAUAACUACUGGAAACGGUAGCUAAUACCGCAUACCAUCGGAUGUGCCCAGAUGGGAGUAGCGAGUAGGUGGGGUAAAGGCUCACCUAGGCGACGAUCCCUAGCGUGGCUGAGAGGAUGACUAGCCACACGGGACCGUCGACACGGUCCAGAUGCCUACGGGAGGCAUCAGUAGGGAAUAUUGCACAAGGGGCGCAAUCCUGAUGCAGCCAUGCCGCGUGUAUGAAGAAUGCCUUCGGGUUGUAAAGUACUUUCAGCGGGGAUGCGUUACCCGCAGAAGAAGCACCGGCUAACUCCGUGCCAGCAGCCGCGGUAAUAC